GUAGCAAUACUGAGACGGAAUACAUUGCCUCCACGCAUACACUUUCCACGCGAAGCGAGAUUUCACAUGGGUUUACGAAUUUUUACGCAAAACGAGAUUCAAUCCAGACCCUGUGUGUAUAGUUUUUUUGAUGGUGGAGCCCUUUCGAAGGGGGGUGGUGGUUUUUUACAAAAUCAAAAACCUCGCGUGGAAAGUUGCAAACCCAUGUAGAACCUCGCUUCGCGUGGAAUAUUUAUGCGUGGAGGCAGUGUGUUCCGCCCACCCUCCCCCCGCCCCUUCCGUCACUGUACUUCGUCCGUAUAAAGGUUUCCUAACCUGUAAAGUUGUCAACUUUUAACGCUAAAUAUCUCGCUUCGCGGGGCAGAGCGACACUUUUUUCAGAUAGAAAAAUUUUAUUUCACACAAAAACGCAUCGAAUAAGCUUAAUUGGAUCAAAAUCGGAGAGACUGCAGACUUACAACUUUCGAUACAGAGAUGCAUUCAAACAUUCGUGCAUGCAUGCCAAUGCAGACACACAAAUUGUACUCUAUCUACCUGUCCAAAGGUGAAGCAAGUGAUGAUGCACACAAAGAACUGUAAGAGAAAGGCCAAUGGUAGCUGCCUGCUAUGUAAACAAUUGGCUGUUCUCUUCUACUAUCACGCGAAACACUGCCAAAAGACCAAGUGCCUUGUUCCGUACUGCUCUUCUAUCAAACAUAAGUUAAACAGCAGUAAUUGCAACGACUGCAGCAGGCACAACUACUCAGAUUUUGAAUUAUUAAAUAUAAAAGAAGAUACGGAAUUAUUAACAAUAGAAACACAGUUAAAAUUAUUAAAUAUAGAAGAAGAUGCGGAAUUAUUAACAAUAGAAACAGAUUGUGAAUUUUUUUUUAAAGAUGAAACAAGAUUGGAUGAUCAAAAAUAGAAAAAAAUUUAGAAUUAAAGAUAAAAAAAUUCCAUCUGCUAAUGUUUCACCUCCUGUAAAUACAAUGAAUCAUAUUGUGCCAACAAUACAUCAUAUUGGGUCGUCCACUACUAUUCGUCCUACCACCAUCGGCAACGACCACUAACCAAACCACUUUUCAGCCUUAUUCCUAUCCCACAAACGCGUCAUAUUUCCCAGCAAUCCAAUACCACCAGCUGCACCGCCAUGAAGCUAUUAUCCCCCACAACCACAAUGAAAAACUAUGUAUCAUGUAUAUUCUUCAGUAUAAACUGUAUCGAUUUAAGCGUUGUUAAUUAAAGAUAAAAUUAGCAAAAUAUAUUUAUUUAAAUUUUG